AGGACGAACGCUGGCGGCGUGCCUAACACAUGCAAGUCGAACGGAGUGCAUUUUGAGAUUCGUCGAAAGAGUGUACUUAGUGGCGGACGGGUGAGUAAUGCGUGAGCAACCUGCCUUCGGAGGGGGACGAACAGUUAGAAAUGACUGCUAAUACCGCAUGAUGUAGCUGGGAGGCAUCUCCCGGUUACCAAAGAUUUUUAUCGCCGAAGGAUGGGCUCACGUCUGAUUAGCUGGUUGGUGGGGUAACGGCCUACCCAAGGCUGCGAUCAGUAGCCGGACUGAGAGGUUGAACGGCCACAUUGGGACUGAGAUACGGCCCAGACUCCUACGGGAGGCAGCAGUGGGGAAUAUUGGGCAAUGGGCGCAAAGCCUGACCCAGCAACGCCGCGUGAAGGAAGAAGGCCUUCGGGUUGUAAACUUCUUUUAUGAGGGACGAAGGACGUGACGGUACCUCAUGAAUAAGCCACGGCUAACUACGUGCCAGCCGCAGC
rnacentral:rRNA from 1 species